CUCCUCGCCAUCCCGUCCUCCUCAUGCAACACAUCCCGACCGUUGAUUCUGCUGUCGUCUGAUUCCUUCAAGGGCCGUAGAAAGGGUUCAUCAAUCACACGUGCACGUUGAUGAUCUUAUCAACCUCCUCCAUGGCUCCGACCCUGUCAGGGUCGAGCUCAACCGCCUCGAGAAUGAGGUCCGAGGUCGGGAUUUCCUCAUCUUCUGUUAUAUCUCGGCUGUGGAUUCAUCGGUUUUUUGCUCGAUUUUGCUAGGUUUUGGGGGUUUAGGGCUUGAUUGGGGCAGGUUUAGGGUCUUUGAGGUGUUUUGGAUGUGUCAGUGCACGGCCGCCCAACCUCCAUCGAAAGCCGUUACCAUCAUAAGAGGCCGCCCGUCCCUCAUCAUCAACAACCAAACACAUAUCCACCUGCAAUCGUCCACCAUCAGUUCUGAUUGGCUCUAUUACAUUUCCUUGAUCUAGAGAAAUUCAAGAAUAAAGAUGAUUUUGUUGAAAAAUACAAGAAUCUAAGCUCCUUUAAUGACAUUGAGCUUGCUAAUCUUCACCAGGAAUUGAGGCCUCACAUUCUUAUAAGAGUUAUCAAGGAUGUGGAGAAGUCUUUACCUCCAAAAAUUGAGCACAUCCUCCGGGUUGAAAUGUCUCCCCUUCAGAAACAGUAUUACAAGUGGAUUUUAGAACGUAACUUUCAUAACUUGAACAAAGGAGUCUGCGGAAAUCGAGUUUGCACUUAUUUCAAAUAUUUAGGGCCCGUUUGUCAUUGAAGAAAUGAGCGCUUGUGA